GUGGUGGCUCACACCUGUAAUCCCAGUACUUUGGGAGGUCGAGGCGGGCGGAUCACCUGAAGUCAGGAGUUCGAGACCAGCCUGACCAACAUGGAGAAACCCCGUCUUUACUAAAAAUAAAAAAUGAGCUGGGUGUGGUGGCACGUGUCUGUAAUCCCAGCUACUCAGGAGGCUGAGGAAGGAAAAUUGCUUGAACCCGGGAGGCGGAGGUUGCGGCUCAUGAGCCAAGAUCGUGCUGUUGCACUCCAGCCUGGGCAAGAGCGAAACUCUGUCUCAAAAAAAUAAAUAAAUAAAAAGAAGAACAAUAUAUAUUUUUAACCUGUUUAGAGGAACAUUUCAGAAAUGAGAGGAUUUAUAGCCAGUAAUAAGAACAAAAGACUUUAAAUUGUGUCUGUAUGUUUUUCAGUAGCAUUUUUUAUUUACCACAUAGGCCUGUAGCAGUUUGUGGUGCCGGAGAACAAAUGUUAACUGUGCACUUUGUAUGUCCUUUGGAGGGAUGCA
ensembl:lncRNA novel transcript